rnacentral:rRNA from 1 species
GACGAACGCUGGCGGCGUGCUUAACACAUGCAAGUCGAACGGUAAGGCCCUUCGGGGUACACGAGUGGCGAACGGGUGAGUAACACGUGGGUGAUCUGCCCUGCACUUCGGGAUAAGCCUGGGAAACUGGGUCUAAUACCGGAUAGGACCACUGCCUGCAUGGGUGGUGGUGGAAAGCUUUUGCGGUGUGGGAUGGGCCCGCGGCCUAUCAGCUUGUUGGUGGGGAGAUGGCCUACCAAGGCGACGACGAGUAGCCGGCCUGAGAGGGUGACCGGCCACACUGGGACUGAGGUACGGCCCAGACUCCUACGGGAGGCAGCAGUGGGGAAUAUUGCACAAUGGGCGCAAGCCUGAUGCAGCAACGCCGCGUGAGGGAUGACGGCCUUCGGGUUGUAAACCUCUUUUAGUAGGGAAGAAGCGAAAGUGACGGUACCUGCAGAAAAAGCACCGGCUAACUACGUGCCAGCAGCCGCCGUAA